AAGGUGAGGAGGAAAAUAAGUGAGCGAGGGGGUGAAGAACAAAAUUACAUGUAGGUGCAAAAUAGUAAAAUCAAUUGAUCUUUUUCUUGUUUAAUGAGAAUUUUUGCUUCCACAUUAAUUUUUCUUUUUUUAUGGCAUCAUCUUUGAGGGAUUCCCUAUAAUCUUAGAGGUCUAAGCUUGAUUUUGUGCUGUUUUAUUUUUCUACUAUGUGGUUGGGUGGUAUUUAUUUUGUGCAAUAGUUAUUCCAGAGUGCAAGCUAGGCAAAGUGUAAUAAUUGGCAAAUGGUAGUUAAAGAUUUUGGCAUAUGAUAUUCUAAUAGUUACGUCAACAUGCCACUUGUUGCAGAUUUGUUU
rnacentral:misc_RNA from 1 species